UACGUAGGGCGCGAGCGUUGUCCGGAAUUAUUGGGCGUAAAGAGCUCGUAGGCGGUCUGUCGCGUCGGCUGUGAAAUCCCGAGGCUCAACCUCGGGUCUGCAGUCGAUACGGGCAAACUAGAGUAUUGCAGGGGAGACUGGAAUUCCUGGUGUAGCGGUGAAAUGCGCAGAUAUCAGGAAGAACACCCGUGGCUAAGGCGGCUCUCUAGUACGGUACUGACGCUGAGACGCGAAAGCGUGGGGAGCGAACAGG
rnacentral:rRNA from 1 species